CCUGCCAGCUCCCGAGCAGGAAGAGCAGAGAGCCAAAGCCCCAUUGGUGGGACGUCUUGCUGAAUGUGUAACCUGCUCCCGGAUUGGUUGGCUGCCUUGCGGCGUGUUGUCGUUCCUGAGGUCUUUCGCUGGCGGUGGCGGUAGUAGGGCGAGGCGACGGCCAGAGCCGGAAUAGCUCGGCAAGCCACCGUACUGCUGAACCAGUUUGGGUGAAGGAGGAGGAAACGGAGUAGCAACUUGUGAAUGAACUUUUCCUGGAGCAGCUUCACUCAGUGCAGUGCCAUUUCUGAUAUGAGAAGACUAAUGGUGACUAGUGGGAAAGGACAGUGAUCCAGGCCUGGGGUGACAAGCAUCUGCAAAAGAAGUUCAGGCCACCUGCCUAGAAAUCUUCACAGAGCUGCACAGCAACAUGAGAGCUCCUAGAGAAAUGUGGCUAUUACCAUCUGGAAACUCACCAACCCUGAUUGCUCCUCAUCAGUAGCUAAGCAAUUUGGUUUUGGUAGGUCAGGUUGACUGUUGGGCUGUUGUUAUGCAGGCAUGCGCUUCUAUGAAGAAAGUGUUGAAACACUGAGUAAUAAUAUUUUGGCAAUGUGCAGGAGAUUAUCAGUUUACACGCUUAAGGUUCCUGAAUUGUAUUGGGACUGUUGAUGGGAUCUGUGUGUCUAUUCCUUAACCUCACCACAAGGCCUCGUGUUUAUAAACAGAAAGGGCUAUUUCUCCUGGGUAUUCCAAGGUCUGGUUGAUCAUAGUAUUUGGUUCACCAGUAUUAAUGUGGUGUGAUCUGGAAAGGUCCCUGGUGCUAGAAUCUUUAGAAACUCACGCCUCUUUUCCUUCAUGAAAAAUGGAACUUUUGCUUCCAAGACCACUGUAGAUAUUGAUGGUUUUGCAAUUUCCUUCUCUCAUUCUGGGAAACCCAGCUUCCCUGGUUUAUAAAGACUUUUAUUAGGCACCGGGGCAGGAGAAAGAGCCUGUUAAACUAUACCUGAGUACCUGCAGAAAGACAGUGGAGUAUAUAUUUGGAACGCUGAAAGGAAUUUGGUGCUGUCUAAUGAUUAAAAUGGCAGCUACAGAGCAAUAUCUGCUUCAUGUAAUAACUGCAUACUGCAUUUUUCAGAACAGCUGUGAAAAUAAGGGAGAUUGUACCUCUGACUCCUCCCACAUCAGAGGCUGAGACUGUCUGAGCAAAACAAACUGCCAGAGAGGCUUUCCCUCUUCAAACUGCAGCCAGUUGCCAGGGCCACAGGGUUAAGGGUGCUUUGUGCUCCUACAUUGAGGGUAGGAACUGAAAUAUUUUAAUCAUAUUAUGCUUUGUGGCAAGGGUUCAUUGUUUUGUAGUUGCUUAGUGUGACAGUUUGCUGAAAGUUGAUUUUUUGUUUUGAGAUUUGCCAUUUUAUUAAACUUUGAGCUUUUGUCAAGCAAAACUUUAACAAACAUAGAGGGAUGAAAACAAAAAAUUGAAUGUCUGUCCCAAUUUGUAACCCUGGUAACAAACAAUAAUACAGUGCAAAUUUCAGCUCCAUAAAAUAUGUUGAGUUUUGAAAAAAUACUCAUUUUUAAACUCUGCAGAUACAUGGAUAGCCUGCCUGUAAGUGCAGAGUAAACAUGAUUGUACAGGAUUUCUGGGUGCUCUUUCCCUUCAUAUGUGGAAUGGUGAGAGCAAAAGCCAUUGUUUGUAAUUGUGGGGAUGAAGGUGGGUUCCCAGAAUUCAGCGUUUUCACUCUCCGGGGAUGUGGUGUGUGGAGGAAAGUGCCUUAUAGAUUCUUGGACGUGCAGGUGCUGCUCUCAGGAAGCAGUAUUGUCCACAGGCUGCAGGAUAUGUCUGGGAUGUGACUGUAGUAUUGAGUGUGAAGAUGGCGCUCUAAGGGUCUCCAGCAAUACUGCUUUGUCAUCAGUUCAAUGAGCUGGUUUUGCAUAUCAUAGAGUUUUCCUUUAGUUUGCCUCAUCAGUUCAAUGGUCUCUCUGCAAUGAAAACUCCUCUCCAGUCUUCUUGGUGCUGUUCUGGACUGCAGCUCACCCCACAUUUCCUGUUUUGUAUUUCUUUUCUUGCCCUGGAGAUUGGCCACAUGAUCCACAGUAGAUAAUAGUCCAGUCAGUUGGGAGUUACAGGACUUCAGGUGCAAGAGCUGGGGGAACUGAGAAACGGAACAAGUAGUUAUUGUACUAAUUCCAGUUUUCAUGUCACCAAUGAUAACAUUGAUUUUUCCUCUCUUUUGGAAUGCCAUUUCCAUAGACUUUUGCCAGUCUGGAGUGACUCUGAGGAUGGUAAGAUGUUUUUUGUUUUUUUUUUGCUUUCAGUUCUACUUUAUCUCAUCUCCAACAUGCACAAAAUGCACUGUAAAAUGAAGAGUUCUGCAAUAGUUGUUCAGAAUGUACAGGGUUAACAUAGCUGGAAGGCUGACUUGCCUUAUCUCUGCGUUCUGUUCCACUUUGGGGAAAUGUAUCUCAUAAAAUGCUGAGAUAGCUGAAAGCUCAGGGCAUUGCACAAAUGGUGAUGAACAAAUGUCUUUUUUUUUUUUUUUCUUUAAAUAUUGCCUUAUUUUUACUGCAACUAGUGUUUUAAUGAACAUGGUUACUUUAUAGUAUUUCUUUAUUUAAAUCCUAGUUGACUGGGGGAGGGCUAAGGCAUAGUGGUUGAGGAAUAUGGAAUGGGAAAGGAGACCAUAGUGGUGGUGGCGGGGGGGGCAGCCCAGUGGGCUAUUAAUGUAUAUGGUGGGCAGCAAACAGUCAUGCCAUUUAAAGCCCCAGGGGGUGUUUCCAAGCUAGUAGGCACAGAGAGGCUCCUAGAUCUCCUCUGCCCACAGUGGCAGCAUCUAGCAGGCAUCCAUCUAGCAGGGGAUUGGUCCUGCUUUGAGCAGGGGGUUGGACUAGAUGAUCUCCUGAGGUCCCUUCCAACCCUGAUAUUCUAUGAUUCACACCAAAAAUUUAUUCAACUCUCCUAUACAGUUAUUUAAUAUAGCACCACACUUACUCGCAGAAGUCUCCUCCUCAGGUCUGUCAGACUGGGUAUCCACCUGGCUUUCGGGAGCUGCAUGUUCAUUUGACUCUGCCUCAGACUUUUGUGUGGGAAAGAGAUCUUGGCUUUCAGAGGAGCUCUCUUCCUUCUCCUACCUAGAGUCCUGGUUAACACUGGACAGUGCCAAAAGGGAUGACAUGGCAGACCCAUGACAAAUGAGAUUUGGUGGUGGCCUCACAGCAAAUAUCUGAUCAAGAUGCCAUAACAGUAGAAGACGCACAGGCUAUAGUCCACUUGGUCUGUAUGUAAAUACAACACUGGAUCUACUGUCUCCUUAACAGAAGCAAGAGGAUAGAGAAUGAAUCACAGAAGUACAGGUCUCUACAUACAGUAUUGGUUUGAGGUUGACGGGACAUGGACUGAGAUGAAAUGAAACGCUGGAAGGGACAUUGAGAGGUCAUCAAGCUGAACCCUAUGCCUGCACUGAGGCUGGCCCAAGUAAACCAGAACAUCCCCGGCAGGUGUUUGUCCAACCUGUUCAUAAAAACCUCCAGUGAAGGGGAUUCCACAACCUCCCUUGGAAGCUUGUUCCAGAGCUUAACUACCCUCAUAGUUAGAAAGUUUUCCCGAGUAUCUAACCAAAAUCUCUCUUCCUUCCUGCAGAUUAAGCCUAUUACUACUUGUCCCGCUUUUAGUGGACAUGGAGAACAGCAGAUCACUAUCCACUUGAUAACUCUUCAAAUAUGUUAAGGGCAGUUAUCAGGUCCCCCCUCUGUUCUCAAAACUAAAAAUACCCAGUUUUUUAAUCUUUCAUGAUUUUUGAUGCUCUCCUCUAGACUCUUUCCAAAUUGUACACAUCUUUCUUAAAGUGCAGCGCCUAGAAUUGGAAACAGUGCUCCAGCUGAGGCCUCCCAGGGCCGAGUAGAUCGGGACAAUUACCUCCCGUGCCUUACAUACAACAUUCCUGUUAAUAUACCCCAGAAUAUUAGCCUUUUUAGCCACUGCAUCACAUUAAUUCAUAUUUAAUUUGAGAUCCAUUAUGACUCCAAGAUCUUUUUCAGAGGUACUACUGCCUAACCAGUUAUUCCUCAUUUUGUAGCUGUACAUUUGAUUUUUCCUAAGUGAAUUACUUUGCACUUGGUUUUUAUUAAAUUUCAUCUUGUUGAAUUCCGCACAAUUCUCCAAUUUGUCAAAGUCGUUUUGAAUUUGAAGCCUGUCCACCAGAGUGCUUGCAACCCCUUCCAGCCUGGGGUCAUUUGCAAAUUUUAUCACUUCAUUAUCUAAGCCAUUGAUGAAAAUAUUGAAUAUGGCCCUGCUAUUCAAAAAAUAUUAUUAAAGUAUUUAAUGGGUCUUUAAUGUUACAUGGCAGCCAGAAACAAGGAACCAGUAUUAUGUGACCAGCCAACAUCACAGAUCACAAGUAAACCUUUUGUGAACCAGUUUGGGAAUCUUUGUUAAACCAUUUGAAUCAUACAAGUUUGACCCCUCUGCAGUGAGCUAAUGUACUAAAAAAAAAUAGAUAUUAUUUUCUAUUAAUUUAGACGUUUCACUAAAGGAAUUCUACUUUUGUUAAACAAUUAAAUUAUAAUUUGGUAAAGAAAUAAUCCUCACUGAAUAGAAACUUCAGUGUUCUGGAGAAAAAUUGGUUCUAAUUUGACUGAGUCAUGAGCUUAGAAAAUCACACACUGUAUUUACAUAACAUUUUAAAAUAACAGUAAUAUGUUAAACUGAUCCACGAGUGCUCCAGGGUAUGGUAAACUGUGGGUAAGGACUGUGAUAGAUUUAGCUGAGUAAAGCGCAUAGUGGAUGUAUGCAGUGAGUGAAACGUUGUAAUAACUGGGCCUAUACAUUUACCUUAAUUGUAAGCUUAACUGCUGAAAAGUGGGUAAAGGCUCACAGAUUGUUACAAUGGUCUGUUAUAUAAAACUGUUUACGAAAAGAUGUGGAGCAAAGGAGACAAAGACUGAAUUAAUAUAAAUAAAAAGGGUUUACUGAUACCAGUCAAAGACUAUGUAUUACGAAUGGUGAACAAGAUGAGCAGAAAGUCAGAAAUCAGGUAACCAAAAAUCGGUGUGUUGGGAAUUAGGCCAAAUUGGUGGACAAAAUAAUAGGAGGAUGGGCUACUUAGCUCAUUGCUCCCUUUUGCGGUCCUUAAAAAGAGACUGGAUGAAAACUCAGUGGAGUGCUUUUUACCAUCACCACAGCUGUGGUGGAAAGAUUGUUAUCAUGAUAUCAGACCGUGGUACUACAGUGGGGAGCUUGAUCAUCAUCGCUGCACCAGGGAAGACUCCAGCCUGAUACAUUCUUUGUCUUCCCUUCCCUUGUGCAUUCCUUUCUGCAUCCCCCAUCUUCCUCCUGUCCUCUCUCUCUCAGCUUUUCACUGGAUCCUGAAAUCAACUGUAUUGCACAGCACCAGUACAACGAGAUGAGAUGGCCCAUCCAGCUCUGCCCACCCUGAGAAGGAUGAAUGAAGGAGAGGGACUUGACCAGACCAACUAGAUAAUGUCCCUGUCUGGGGAGAAGAGCGUGUCCAGAGCAACAGCUUUCAUGGCUGACCUACAAGACCAAAGCAUCUGUCCCAUGACUGACCAGCCACCCUGUAUUCUGAGCUGUAUUUUCGCCAUCUUUAUUAUCCUAGUUCUUCUCUCUCUCCUGUGUCUGUUUUGUCUAAUGCAGGAAAGUGACUAUCAUUCUAAAUUCAGAACUGAAUAAUAGAACACCAAGGGCUGUUUGAAUAAGAGAUGUUAUGUCUCUCGAAAAGACUGGGAUAGGUUUUUAUUAUUUUAUUAUUUGUUCUUUAUCUCAUUUUGCUUCUUUCCUUUUGUGAGUUUCAAAUAAGCUCCAGAAUAGUUCUUGAAGAGUUCCUCAGAUCUUGCACUUCUUGUUAUCAUUAAAUGUAGAACUGGUUGCCUAACUUAUUGGAAAUAAUGAUUGUUGUACAUUUUUGACAACUGCAGUGACUAAAUUAUAUUUUUUUAUUAUAAUUAAAAUAAAUUUCUCCA